ensembl:lncRNA
UGGGGGUUCCCAGGUUGUUUCAUCCAGUGUUCCAGGACAGGGUGGGGGUUGCCAGGUUGUUUCAUCCAGUGUUCCAGGACAGGGUGGGGGUUGCCAGGUUGUUUCCUCCAGUGUUCCAGGACAGGGUGGGGGUUCCCAGGUUGUUUCCUCCAGUGUUCCAGGACAGGGUGGGGGUUGCCAGGUUGUUUCAUCCAGUGUUCCAGGACAGGGUGGGGGUUCCUCGGUUGUUUCAUCCAGUGUUCCAGGACAGGGUGGGGGUUGCCAGGUUGUUUCAUCCAGUGUUCCAGGACAGGGUGGGGGUUGCCAGGUUGUUUCAUCCAGUGUUCCAGGACAGGGUGGGGGUUCCUCGGUUGUUUCCUUUUUGGUUUUGUAUAGAUCCUUGUAGGUUCAGGACAGCAACAUCACACAUUCCCAAGAAAACUUCUCGAAGGGUGAAUGUUCGUGUGUUUGCUCCAUUUUUAGCUUUUCAUCACUAAGAGCUACAAACUCACCUGAGUGCAGGAAGAGCCUGUGAUGCUGUGAACAGACACCCACAUCUCACCAACUUCCUCUACAACUAAUCCUGCUGGCUCUGUCUCAUUAACUUCAGAAGUCUGAAGGAGACGUCCUCUACAUCAGAGACAUCUACAGACUAUGAGGAAGGCUGUGGUCUGUCUGUUUGGUUAAUAAAGGCGAUGUUGGAAUGCCAGACACUGUUCUAAAUGGUUCGUCCAUGUUUUUUGAUCGGAAGUGUCUCCCCACUUUUUUGUGUAUGUGUGUGUAUUAUUAGUGAGGACAGUAAAGUCCUCCAUUACUAUUGUAAAUUAAG